rnacentral:rRNA from 1 species
AUACAGAGGGUGCGAGCGUUAAUCGGAAUUACUGGGCGUAAAGCGCGCGUAGGCGGUUUGUUAAGUCGGAUGUGAAAUCCCCGGGCUCAACCUGGGAACUGCAUUCGAAACUGGCAGGCUAGAGUAUGGUAGAGGGAAGUGGAAUUCCGGGUGUAGCGGUGAAAUGCGUAGAUAUCCGGAGGAACAUCAGUGGCGAAGGCGGCUUCCUGGACCAAUACUGACGCUGAGGUGCGAAAGCGUGGGGAGCAAACAGGAUUAGAAACCCCAGUAGUCC